rnacentral:rRNA from 1 species
AGUGAACGCUGGCGGUAGGCCUAGCACAUGCAAGUCGAACGGCAGCACAGUAAGAGCUUGCUCUUACGGGUGGCGAGUGGCGGACGGGUGAGGAAUACAUCGGAAUCUACUUUUUCGUGGGGGAUAACGUAGGGAAACUUACGCUAAUACCGCAUACGACCUACGGGUGAAAGCAGGGGAUCUUCGGACCUUGCGCGAUUGAAUGAGCCGAUGUCGGAUUAGCUAGUUGGCGGGGUAAAGGCCCACCAAGGCGACGAUCCGUAGCUGGUCUGAGAGGAUGAUCAGCCACACUGGAACUGAGACACGGUCCAGACUCCUACGGGAGGCAGCAGUGGGGAAUAUUGGACAAUGGGCGCAAGCCUGAUCCAGCCAUACCGCGUGGGUGAAGAAGGACUUCGGGUUGUAAAGCCCUUUUGUUGGGAAAGAAAAGCAGCAGGUUAAUACCCCGCUGUUCUGACGGUACCCAAAGAAUAAGCACCGGCUAACUUCGUG